rnacentral:sRNA from 1 species
CCAGGGGCUUGCGCCCCUGGCUAUUAUCUAUCGCCCUUUCAGGGCU